rfam:Gossypium raimondii Chr05_contig_1140, whole genome shotgun sequence.
AUACCUUUCUCGGCCUUUUGGCUAAGAUCAAGUGUAGUAUCUGUUCUUAUCAGUUUAAUAUCUGAUACGUGGGCCAUUGGCCCACAUGAUAUUAAAUUUAUUUUUUGAGGGGGAGGGUCCACUACGGUAGCUUGCUACUGGGUCUCUCGAGCGUCGCCUUAGCGUUGCACUAUAGCUUGGGCCUGGCGCACCCCAC